UGGGGGACCAAAACUGCAUUUAAGCCUAAUUAAAACGAUACAGAGAAGUUUCGCAUGACUCCUGCGCAAGGAUGACGCGCACAAAAAAAUACAUGUUACAAGUGUGU